GGGGCAGCAGUGGGGCGCUGGUGCCCUGCGUGGAGCGCUCGUUGUCCAUCUCCCGCGUGCCGUUGCCCCACAGCCGCAGCAGCAGCAGCACCGCCGACAGCAGCUGGCUGGAGGACGGUGGGACCCAGAGGAAGCGAGUACUGUCUAUUGGACCACAGUGACAGCUGGACCGCUGGCCACAUGAGUAUGACUACAACAGCGUGUUCUCCUGUCCUGAUUGGUUCGGAUAAGAGCCAUGCGAUGUCACUCGCCAUGUAUUAGUGUGACAACACAAUGUGGGCGUAUCUAUGUAGCAUCGGGCAGCAAGAGGUCACAUCACCACGCGGGAUUGGACACUCGACUCCAGUUGUGAUGUCACAAAAGCGGACGAUUUUGAAACGGCUUAUAAUGGCUCACAUCCGAAAUAGUGAAACAGGGCCCCUUUACGCAGCAGGGUAGAACGGAGCCCUACCUGAGGGUCCCCCUCUGUACAGCCAGCUCCAGGAGUAUAGCCAAAGCAAGGUGCUGGUCCUGCAGGGGAAUGUUGCCUUUGGCACUGGCACUUCC